rnacentral:rRNA from 1 species
UACGUAGGUGGCAAGCGUUGUCCGGAUUUAUUGGGUUUAAAGGGUGCGUAGGCGGUCUUAUAAGUCAGUGGUGAAAUGCGGCAGCUCAACUGUCGAGGUGCCAUUGAUACUGUAGGACUUGAGUACAGACGAGGUAGGCGGAAUUGACGGUGUAGCGGUGAAAUGCUUAGAUAUCGUCAAGAACACCGAUAGCGAAGGCAGCUUACUAGGCUGUAACUGACGCUGAGGCACGAAAGUGUGGGGAUCAAACAGG